CGGGGGAGUAUUGCGUAAGAAACUUUGGCUUGACUGGUUCUGUGCGUUCGUGUAUCCCCCUGAUCAGUUGUACGUUCUGCCUGCGUCUAGUCGCCCCAAUCUGUCCUGGGACAGGUGUUAGUUCGUGUCCUCCCAGCAGGUAAUUGUGUCUUGUUUGAGAACUAGUUCUCUGCUUGUCUGGUCCCGUUCCAUCUCUCUCAGUCAGCUGUUAUAUAAGUCGGUGACUCGUAUCUUUGGGAGCUGCUUCGUGUCGUGGCUAUAUAUCGUUUAGCGACUCGUUCAGGGCCUUCCCGACUCUGGCCUCCUCGGGGGCAGGACAAGCCGUAUCUACC